GUCUAAUAUUAUAAAACUAUAUUGAUAUAGUCUGCAGGUAGGUGGUAGGUGUUAUGACGGACGACGACGUCCAAAAUAAUGUAGUUGUUUUAGUUAAUUUCGUGUCGAUGAACCAAUGAAAGUCAACGAUAUCCGCGGUCCAAGAAAGUGCGUUGAACGUGUAAACGAAUAAAUAUAUCGUUAAACAAUUUUUUUUUAUACGCGACCAACUGUUGCUGCGGUGAUAAUCGUGGCGGCGAUAGUCACGACGGACACAAUGGGCAAUGGCCAUAAUAAUAAUAAUAUAAUAAUAGAAAUUAUAAUCGCCGGCGGUUCGCCUUCGCUUUGUAAUGCGUACGUGAAUCACACUGUGUAGUCUGUUUUUAUUACAUAACACGCUUAAAUACCUGGACACUCAUGAAUUAUGCCCAGGUUUCGCUAAUGUUCAAGCUUGUCCCGGUCAAUCAACACAGUCGUCGAACUAUAAAAUCAAAACCUAUUCAUGAAUCAUGAUCAAUUGAGCCGAAUAAAUUAUUAUUUGAUUGUAAGGGUUUUUCCUAUCAUUUGCUCCUAAUAAUUACAUCGAUUGUAUACAAACGUU